AUCCAGGUCUCACUGUGUUUCCCAGGCUGGCCUCAGACUCCUUGGUUUAAGCAGUUGUCCUGACUCAGCUUUCCAAGUAGCUGGGAGGUACUAUAGGUGUGUGCCACUAGACCUGAUGAUCAGUGUUUUUGUUGUUUUAUUUUGUGGCACUGGGGAUUGAACCCAGGGCCUUUGUAUUGAACUACAUCCCCAGCCUUUUUAAUGUUUUUUAAAAACACUGAGACAGGUCUUGUUAAGUUGCUAAAUUGCCUGGGUGGGCUUAAACUUGUGAUCCUCUUGCCUCAGAUCAUUGUUUUUUCUAAUGAUCUGAUCAUUCACAUGCCAUUUCUUUCCUCUUUCGCUCCCAGCAUCAGGGAUCAAACUCAGGACCUUGCACUUGCCAGGCAGGCAUGGCGCCACUGAGCUACAUCCCUAGCCCUCGCCAUUUCUAACAUCUCCAAUCAUGCCAUUUCUCAUUACCAAUGUCUCUUUAACAAUGUCCUCAUCCACUUAUCUGUGACAUCAAUAUGUCUAACCAAUAAUGUCUGAUCACAGAAUCCUCUCACCAUCAAAUUUUCUACCAAGGUGGUCACCAGUGAAUCCUGAUUGCUCACCUCCAAUCACCAACAUCUCUAAUGGCCAACACCAGUGACCCCUGAAUCUUCUUCAGAGUCUCUGGUGGCUGAUGUCAUUCUCCAGAGUCCCUUAUACCCCUAAUCGCCACCUCCCUGGUCAUCCAUCCCUAGCUAUUAGCAUCACCAGUUACAAAUGAUCCCUAUUCCAUAAUCAGCAAUGCCUCUGAUCCCCAGUAGGUGACCUAGGGCUCUCCUCUGCAGGAUCUCUAGACUCCGUGCCCUCAGUUUUUAAGUCUGAUCACUGAGGUCUCCUUUACCUUUAAUUAUCCAGGACCUGAACACCAAAUGCUGUCACCACUAACACUCUCAGUCACUUCCCUCCCUGCUGGAUGAUUAAUACCAUAUCCAAUCCACGGUGGUUCUGAUCUCUAGGACCUCUGAGUGAUGCCUCCUGAAGGUCAGGAUGUGACCUCAACUCUCUCUGAUGGUAUUUUGUGAAUGAUGUCAUCCCUCAGUGACUCUCCCAUCCCUGAUUACUGGUCACCCACCCCUAAUCAUCUCAUCCCCGGUCACCAGUCUCUAUGUCUAUGUCCUGAUGACCAGGAUUUCUGAUUGUUCCUUGACAGCUCUGAGGCCCAUCUGGUCCAGGAGGUUUUCACUCUCCCUGGUGCCAGCAGGCCUCGCCCCAGCAGGGGAAGCCAAGGUCUGGAUGUUGUACUGCCGCCCUAUUUGUGGUCCUCCCUGUGGAACUGACACCUGGAUCACACAGCAGCCAGCCUGCUGCUUAGCUGGGUGGGCCCUGGGCUGUCACUGGAGCACAGUGGCCCUGGACCCCAUACAUCCACCAUAGCUCCCCACGCACCCCCACUGGCUCCAGGGCAUUCUGCCUCCCCUUUUCCUGCCAGCUGCAGCCACAGCAAGGCUGGGACAGUCCCUGUCCUGUCUCCUGGGUCAUGACAGCAGGACUGUGUGUGUCUGAAUACAUAUUCAGAUGUGUGUGUUGAACAAUUCCUGCAUGCCAUAAACCUUUCUAGGUGUUGGGGCCACAUCUGUGAAUAAAACAAGCAAAAGUUAAGCACAAUAAUGAUGCUAUGCUACCUGGUCUCUAGUAUGCUUGCUGGGCCCAUAGUCCAGAGCCCAAAGCCAGAGCCAGGAGUCCAGUGUGUAGAGACUAGGACCUGCAGCCUAUAACCCACAUUCCAGAAAUUGGGAAACUUGACCUCAAAAUACAGAGCCUGGACCCUCAAACCCAGAAUUCAGAGCUUGGCACUCAGAACCCAGAACUUAACCAAGAACUCUGAGAUGUGGCCCAGAGCCCAGACCUCAAAAUCCGGAUCCUAGUAGUGCACGGAGCCCAGAACAUUGACCUUAAAUGUGGGACCCCAAAUCUAUACUUCAUAACUCAGGGUGUAGGACAUGGAGCCCAGAAUCUAGAACCUGUGUCCCAAAGCCUUGAACUCCACAUCCAGAACCUAGAUCAUGGCUGAGGACCCACAGGGAGGAAUCCAGAGCUCCAAACUUAGAAUGACCCCCAAGGGGCCUCCUUGUUUCUCUACAUCCCCUGGCUUAUUCCGCUUCCUCCUGCCAGCCCGGGUUCAGGGAGCACCAGUGCUAGGUGUGGCAUCAGUCAGCAGGAAAUUAGCGCAUGAGCAGUUCCCUCUCUAGCCACAGAGGCUCCGGAGCACAGGGACUGUGUGUGGUCACCCUGUCCCCUUCCCCACCCACUGGCUCCAGCUCGGACAGGCACUUCUCCUGGGUCUGCUGAAAAGGAGAUUCACCCAGGUGCGGUGGUGCAUAUCUAUAAUCCCAGUACUCAGGAGGCUGAGGCAAGAAGGUCAUGUGAGUUCCAGGCCAACCUGGGCUGCAAGCAGGGUACAAGAAUUGCUCCAUUUCCUUUUCAACACUUGGUAAUGUCAGAUGUUCACAGUUUUGCCCUUUGAAGAGGAUGGAAAGGAAUAUCACUGCUGACUUCUCCUCUGUGAUGCCCCUCUGCCAUGUGCCACCCUGCCUUGGAGCCAGCUGAUUAUGGACUGAAACCUCUACAAACUUCCACCUACCUCCGGGAUGGCUGCCACUCGGUCCCUCCACUCACCUGCUGCCACUCGCCCAUCCAGCGGCCCAUCCAUCCACCGCUGUCACCCAUCCAUCCUGGAGGGUCACCAUUACCAUGACCUCCACUGCAGGCAGCACCACUGUCGCCGUUCCCGCCUCCUCCAUCACCGCCAUCAUCACCUCCCUG